rnacentral:rRNA from 1 species
AUUGAACGCUGGCGGCAGGCUUGACACAUGCAAGUCGAGCGAGCGGCGGACGGGUGAGUACUGUCUGGGAAACUGCCUGAUGGAGGGGGAUAACUACUGGACACGGUAGCUAAUACCGCAUACCAUCAGAUGUGCCCAGAUGGGAUUAGCUAGUAGGUGGGGUAAUGGCUCACCUAGGCGACGAUCCCUAGCUGGUCUGAGAGGAUGACCAGCCACACUGGAACUGAGACACGGUCCAGACUCCUACGGGAGGCAGCAGUGGGAAAUAUUGGACAAUGGGCGCAAGCCUGAGGCAGCCAUGCCGCGUGGGUGAAGAAGGCCUUCGGGUUGUAAAGCACGUUCAGCGAGGAGGCUUUACUCGCAGAAGAAGCACCGGCUAACUCCGUGCCAGCAGCCGCGGUAAUUC